CCCUUCUGCGCUGCUCGGUCACGGAGCGGGCGCCACCUGUUGACUGGCGAGAUGAAGUGAGUGCAGGGGAGACUACGUGAGGUCCAAGAUGUCUGAGUACAAGCAAAUGAGGAAGGAUGUCCUUGUGGAGCUGUGCAAGGACAGAGGGAUUACCAGCACCAACUAGUCCAAGGAUCAGCUGGUCCAAGCAUUCCAAGGAGCCGACCAGAGGCAGGAUGGGGAAAGGGAUCAGGCUGAGACAAAUGCUGUUGGGGAAAAUCCUCUGUCCCUGGAUAUUACAACAGAUACUGGUACCAUUGCUAGGCGGAGGUCGGAUCCCUCUACUAGUUCCAGUAACGAUAGUACCUUGGAUCAAUGUUUGCAAACUGCCCUCAAAUUUAGGAGGGAUACAGAUGAUGUGUCCCCUCUACAGCUGACACGGCAGUACCGAGAGGCUGCAGAGCGCAAAGCCGAAUAAGAGGCUGAGGCUGCAGAGUGCAAAGCCGGGCGAGAAGCUGCAGAGCGCAAAGCCAAACGAGAGGCUGAGGCUGCAAAGCCUAAUGUGAGUACCAGCUGGAGCUGGCGAGGCUCAGAGGCCAGAGUGCUGUUCCUUCCUGACCCGGGUAGGAAAAAGCCCCGGCAUGAUCAAUUUCAGGUGUUGGAGAAAGAUAGUGACCUGGAUACUUUCUUCAGCUGUUUUGAAAAAACUUGCCAGCAGUUUGCACUGGACUCCAGUCAGUGGGCAAGCUAUUUAACCCCUGGGCUGAGAGAAAAUGCCUUGGAAGCGUUUGCAGACCUUCCCCAGACAGCUGGAUGGUGAUUAUUCUGCAAUAAAGAAAGCCUUGUUAAAGCAUUUCAACAUCACCCCUGAGGCUUACCGACAGAAGUUCAGAGACUCAAAGCGCAGUCCCUCUGAUACCUAUGCUGGACUGUUAGCUCAAUUGUGAACCCUGUUACAUCAAUGGGUUGAGGGCUUGCAAGUGGACUAUGAAAAGCUGAAAGAUCUCAUACUCCCGGAGCAGUUCACUGCACUCAGCCCAGCUGAGGCCAAAGAGUGGGUCCUGGAGCGGAAACCCAAGUCAUCUGAGGAGGCUGCCACCCUGGCAGACCAAUACACCAGCACCAGGGCUUCUGUGGUAAAGAAGAGCUUGAGAGCCACAGGGCAAGAUGGGUGGAGAAGACUGAGACCCGCAGAAUCACCCCCGCGGUCUUUUCCAACCAAACCAGCGGCCACUGCAUCUGUUGGGGAGGUGGGGGAAAAUACUAUUUUGGCAACUGGACGCAGGUGUUUUAAUUGUGGCGAAGUGGAGCACAUCAGUUUUACUUACCCCAAAAAAUUAGAUUUAUGGUAAGAACUUACCGUUGUUAAAUCUCUCUCUGCGGUGUACACUGGGCUCCACAGGGAAUAACAUCGGGGGUGUAGAGUAGGAUCUUGAUCCAAAGCACCAACAGGCGCAAAGCUUUGCCUGUUCCCAAGGUGCAUAGCGCCGCCUCCUCUUUAACCCCGCCUCCGUGCACAGGAGCUCAGUUUUUGUUAACCAGUACAAUGCAGUAACAGGUAAAAGAGACGACAAUCAUUAGUAGCCACAUAUACCACACACUCACAACAGGAGAGGGUGUCAGCGGCUAAUGCCAUACCAACCCAAAGAAGCUAAGUGCAUCAGGGUGGGCGCCCUGUGGAGCCCAGUGUACCUCACAGAAAGAGAUCUAACAACGGUAAGUUCUUACCAUAAUGCUGAAAUUUUUUUUUCUGAUGGGAGUGUUUCCGGUUCUGUGUUUAAAUACUAUCGCUACAUUGA